UGUGAUCUGAGGAAUGUUAAUUAGCCUUUCCCUUCCAGAGAGUUCCACUACCUUCCCAAAGUUCCUGAGCUUAUCUUAUUAAGGAAAUUCCUGGACUCCUGGCACUUUUCAGAUAUCCCCAAUUACUCGGAUCUUACAAAAUGAUGGCCUGGUGCUUAGCCCUAAAUGGAAGAAAAUAAUCAGGUACAUGUCUGCCCACCACCCAAAGCUCAAGGAACAGCACAAAAAAUGAACUUAAGAGCCAGAGGAAAGGGUGUUAUGUAGCAGCACUUCCUGGAUAAAGAAGAAAGGAGGGAAUCUCAUGAGGAUCAUGAAGCCAGCAAGAUGGAAAUUUUCUGUAAGAAGUAAAACAGAAGCUCGGACUCAAGAGGAAGACUGAAAAGGAAGUACAGCGUCCCAGCCAGAGUGAUGGGAUAAAGGGAACCACACACUCCUGGAAGCAGGCCUCCCUGACAGCAGGUUUUCCUGUACUUCAGAAGUCUGAACUGCAGUGAGCUGCUGUCUUUCUGAAAGUCCAGCCUGCCCUACAUAGAAGAAAAGAAGCUCUGAGUCAUGGUUACCCAAUGAGAUCAUACACCUACCCAUACAUAGAGGAAUAGGGGCCUUGGGGACUUACACAUGUAAUAGUCUAAACCCACAAAGCCAUUUGCUACUGGACAGUCACAUCCAUAAGCCAAUGCUAAGAACAGGGUACUUCAUAGAGAAAGCCAUUUUGACAACAUCCAAAAGGGAAUCAGAAAGCUUGAUGAGAGUUACCAUGGAGACACUGGUGGAGUGACAGGGAAUAGGCACUGGCAGGGCCUCUAGGGAAAACAGUUGUGUGAAUGUAGCAGCUCUCUGGGCAUCUCUCACCAUGGCUGGGGAAGCCAACUGCCAGAACAUGUCGUAAAAGUGUUCCUUUUCCCCCUACUGAAAAUAUAUCUGUUCCAAAACAGAAACACGGUGUUUUCAGAAAUGAAGCAGGUCGUGUGGAAAGAAUGGAAACAUAUCUUAUUUGGCUAUGAUAAGAUACACAGUCUCAUCAGGAGCAUGCCAGAAAGUUUGUGCCAAAAAGGGAGCUGUGUUUAUUGAGUGCUGAGCCGGGACAGGGUGCCCAAAAGCAGCCAUCCUCACCUCUCAGGAGAGAACCCAGCACACACAUUCCACUACACAGACCAGGAGUAACCUGAGGGUUUAGGGGAUUUUCUUACAACCACUGGCAGCAGGCAGCAGAGCUGCACUUCUCAGACUUACUGCCAACCUGAAAAAAGUCUGUGCUACAGGAGUACCAAAGCUCUCUUUGCUUUGUGGUAUAGAAGAAUGAAGAUUGAAAUGCUUUGUUGAGUUUCUACUGUCAUGACUUGUAAGAAGAUGGUCCCCUCUAGUUCUCUGAGCAUGUCACAGGACCAUGUGGGUCAUUAACUUUCCAUGGUUCCAUCCUUUCUGUCAAUUUAUUUGGAACUUUUCAAAGGAAAGAUAAAAAAGAUUUUAGUGGCUUUCUGCUAAGUUGCUUCUGAAUCCAGUCCUAAUAAAAUAUGAGAAGCCAGAAA